GACGAACGCUGGCGGCGUGCUUAACACAUGCAAGUCGAACGGUGAACCUCUUCGGAGGGGAUCAGUGGCGAACGGGUGAGUAACACGUGGGCAACCUGCCCCCGGCUCUGGGAUAACUCCAAGAAAUUGGGGCUAAUACCGGAUGUUCACCGCUUCCCGCAUGGGUGGUGGUGGAAAGGGUUUCCGGCUGGGGAUGGGCCCGCGGCCUAUCAGCUUGUUGGUGGGGUAGGGGCCUACCAAGGCGACGACGGGUAGCCGGCCUGAGAGGGUGACCGGCCACACUGGGACUGAGACACGGCCCAGACGCCUACGGGAGGCAGAGGUGGGGAAUAUUGCGCAAUGGGCGGAAGCCUGACGCAGCGGCGCCGCGUGGGGGAUGACGGCCUUCGGGUUGUAAACCUCUUUCAGCAGGGACGAAGCGCAAGUGACGGUACCUGCAGAAGAAGCACCGGCCAACUACGUG
rnacentral:rRNA from 1 species